rnacentral:rRNA from 1 species
UGAUCAUGGCUCAGGACGAACGCUGGCGGCGUGCUUAACACAUGCAAGUCGAACGGAAAGGCCUGCAGCUUGCUGCGGGUACUCGAGUGGCGAACGGGUGAGUAACACGUGGGUGAUCUGCCUUGCACUUCGGGAUAAGCUUGGGAAACUAGGUCUAAUACCGGAUAGGACAGCUGUUUAGUGUCAGUUGUGGAAAGUUUUUUCGGUGCAAGAUGAGCUCGCGGCCUAUCAGCUUGUUGGUGGGGUAAUGGCCUACCAAGGCGUCGACGGGUAGCCGGCCUGAGAGGGUGUACGGCCACAUUGGGACUGAGAUACGGCCCAGACUCCUACGGGAGGCAGCAGUGGGGAAUAUUGCACAAUGGGCGGAAGCCUGAUGCAGCGACGCCGCGUGGGGGAUGAAGGCCUUCGGGUUGUAAACUCCUUUCGACAGGGACGAAGCGUAAGUGACGGUACCUGUAUAAGAAGCACCGGCUAACUACGUGCCAGCAGCCGCGGUAAUACGUAGGGUGCGAGCGUUGUCCGGAAUUACUGGGCGUAAAGAGCUCGUAGGUGGUUUGUCGCGUCGUCUGUGAAAUUCCGGGGCUUAACUCCGGGCGUGCAGGCGAUACGGGCUGACUUGAGUGCUGUAGGGGAGACUGGAAUUCCUGGUGUAGCGGUGAAAUGCGCAGAUAUCAGGAGGAACACCGAUGGCGAAGGCAGGUCUCUGGGCAGUAACUGACGCUGAGGAGCGAAAGCAUGGGUAAACGAACAGGAUUAGAUACCCUGGUAGUCCAUGCCGUAAACGGUGGGCGCUAGGUGUAGGGGGCUUCCACGUCUUCUGUGCCGUAGCUAACGCAUUAAGCGCCCCGCCUGGGGAGUACGGCCGCAAGGCUAAAACUCAAAGGAAUUGACGGGGGCCCGCACAAGCGGCGGAGCAUGUGGAUUAAUUCGAUGCAACGCGAAGAACCUUACCUGGGCUUGACAUAUACAAGACAGGCGUAGAGAUACGUCCUCCCUUGUGGUUUGUAUACAGGUGGUGCAUGGUUGUCGUCAGCUCGUGUCGUGAGAUGUUGGGUUAAGUCCCGCAACGAGCGCAACCCUUGUCUUAUGUUGCCAGCAUUUGGUUGGGGACUCAUGAGAGACUGCCGGGGUCAACUCGGAGGAAGGUGGGGAUGACGUCAAAUCAUCAUGCCCCUUAUG